rnacentral:rRNA from 1 species
AUUGAACGCUGGCGGCAGGCCUAACACAUGCAAGUCGAGCGAGCGGCGGACGGGUGAGUAAUGUCUGGGAAACUGCCUGAUGGAGGGGGAUAACUACUGGAAACGGUAGCUAAUACCGCAUACCAUCAGAUGUGCCCAGAUGGGAUUAGCUAGUAGGUGGGGUAACGGCUCACCUAGGCGAAGAUCCCUUGCUGGUCUGAGAGGAUGACCAGCCACACUGGAACUGAGGCAAGGUCCAGAAGCCUAAGGGAGGCAGCAGUGGGGAAUAUUGCAAAAUGGGCGCAAGCCUGAUGCAGCCAUGCCGCGUGUGUGAAGAAGGCCUUCGGGUUGUAAAGCACUUUCAGCGGGGAGGCGGUACCCGCAGAAGAAGCAACGGCUAACUCCGUGCCAGCAGCCGCGGUAAUAC